rnacentral:lncRNA from 1 species
GCUCUUCUAUUACGUGUGAUCUGUCCUUAGGCGUCAUCAGUUUUAACUGUCCUCUUGUGACCUCUUGUAAAUAUAAAAAGGAGAUGGCUGGGAAAGACACAAUGAAUCUCUGAACUGAUGCCUAUGCAGUCACAAAGGAGAAACACGGCAUGCAGUGUCUGCCCUGGAGAAUCUCUGCUUCAGAAAGCCCACUUCAUUUUAGGUAUAAAAUGAAUUAUCCACAUUCUGAACAAUAGUAGUUGUCAAAAGUUCAGAAAAUAUAGUUCUAAUUUUUAAACUCAUUUUUAAAGUUUUAAUCUCACAUGAUCAAAUGUUUCUUUUGUCUCUUUCUUCCUGACCAAGCAUUAAACUAACUGCCACAAAGAGUCCUAGCUAAUCAGUUAUAGUUACAGAUUGUCCUGUGUGGUCUGCCAUGUAUAUAACUUUAAGUCUUU